GACGAACGCUGGCGGCGUGCUUAACACAUGCAAGUCGAACGGAAAGGCCCUGCUUUUGUGGGGUGCUCGAGUGGCGAACGGGUGAGUAACACGUGAGUAACCUGCCCUUGACUUUGGGAUAACUUCAGGAAACUGGGGCUAAUACCGGAUAGGAGCUCCUGCUGCAUGGUGGGGGUUGGAAAGUUUCGGCGGUUGGGGAUGGACUCGCGGCUUAUCAGCUUGUUGGUGGGGUAGUGGCUUACCAAGGCUUUGACGGGUAGCCGGCCUGAGAGGGUGACCGGCCACAUUGGGACUGAGAUACGGCCCAGACUCCUACGGGAGGCAGCAGUGGGGAAUAUUGCACAAUGGGCGGAAGCCUGAUGCAGCAACGCCGCGUGCGGGAUGACGGCCUUCGGGUUGUAAACCGCUUUCGCCUGUGACGAAGCGUGAGUGACGGUAAUGGGUAAAGAAGCACCGGCUAACUACGUGCCAGCAGCCGCGGUGAUACGUAGGGUGCGAGCGUUGUCCGGAUUUAUUGGGCGUAAAGGGCUCGUAGGUGGUUGAUCGCGUCGGAAGUGUAAUCUUGGGGCUUAACCCUGAGCGUGCUUUCGAUACGGGUUGACUUGAGGAAGGUAGGGGAGAAUGGAAUUCCUGGUGGAGCGGUGGAAUGCGCAGAUAUCAGGAGGAACACCAGUGGCGAAGGCGGUUCUCUGGGCCUUUCCUGACGCUGAGGAGCGAAAGCGUGGGGAGCGAACAGGCUUAGAUACCCUGGUAGUCCACGCUGUAAACGGUGGGUACUAGGUGUGGGGUCCAUUCCACGGGUUCCGUGCCGUAGCUAGCGCUUUAAGUACCCCGCCUGGGGAGUACGGCCGCAAGGCUAAAACUCAAAGGAAUUGACGGGGCCCCGCACAAGCGGCGGAGCAUGCGGAUUAAUUCGAUGCAACGCGUAGAACCUUACCUGGGUUUGACAUGGAUCGGGAGCGCUCAGAGAUGGGUGUGCCUCUUUUGGGGUCGGUUCACAGGUGGUGCAUGGCUGUCGUCAGCUCGUGUCGUGAGAUGUUGGGUUAAGUCCCGCAACGAGCGCAACCCUUGUUCACUGUUGCCAGCACGUUAUGGUGGGGACUCAGUGGAGACCGCCGGGGUCAACUCGGAGGAAGGUGGGGAUGACGUCAAGUCAUCAUGCCCCUUAUGUCCAGGGCUUCACGCAUGCUACAAUGGCUGGUACAGAGAGUGGCGAGCCUGUGAGGGUGAGCGAAUCUCGGAAAGCCGGUCUCAGUUCGGAUUGGGGUCUGCAACUCGACCUCAUGAAGUCGGAGUCGCUAGUAAUCGCAGAUCAGCAACGCUGCGGUGAAUACGUUCCCGGG
rnacentral:rRNA from 1 species